rnacentral:rRNA from 1 species
CGGCAGUGGCGGGGUACCUAUACAUGCAGUCGAGCGGACACAUGGAGAGCUUGCUCCCUGGAUGGUUAGCGGCGGACGGGGUGAGUAACACGUGGGUAACCUGCCUGUAAGACUGGGAUAACUCCCGGAAACCGGGGCUAAUACCGGAUGCUUGUUUGAACCGCAUGGUUCAAACAUAACAGGUGGCUUCGGCUACCACUUACCCAUGGACCCGCGGCGCAUUAGCUAGGUGGUGAGGUAAUGGCUCACCAAGGCCACGAUGCGUAGCCAACCUGAGAGGGUGAUCGGCCACACUGAGACUGAGACACGGCCCCACUCCUACGGGAGGCAGAAUAUUGGAAUCUUCCGCAAUGGACGAAAGUCUGACGGAGCAACGCCGCGUGAGUGAUGAAGGUUUUCGGAUCGUAAAGCUCUGUUGUUAGGGAAGAACGAGUACCGUUCGAAUAGGGCGGUACCUUGACGGUACCUAACCAGAAAGCCACGGCUAACUACGUGCCAGCAGCCGCGGUAAUACGUACGUGGCAAGCGUUGUCCGGAAUUAUUGGGCGUAAAGGGCUCG